AUCUAAGUAGCUUAAAAAGAGUAUAAUAUUGAAGAUAUUAGGGAAAUAAUAAUUAUUCUUAGAUA
rnacentral:tRNA from 1 species